GGGGGUGUAGCUCAGUGGUGAGCACCUGCCUAAAAUGAGUGAGGCCCUGGGUUGGAUCCCCAGGACCUCCA
rnacentral:tRNA from 1 species